UACGAAGGGGGCUAGCGUUGUUCGGAAUUACUGGGCGUAAAGCGCACGUAGGCGGACAUUUAAGUCAGGGGUGAAAUCCUGGAGCUCAACUCCAGAACUGCCCUUGAUACUGGCGAUCUCGAGUUCGGGAGAGGUGAGUGGAACUGCGAGUGUAGAGGUGAAAUUCGUAGAUAUUCGCAAGAACACCAGUGGCGAAGGCGGCUCACUGGCCCGAUACUGACGCUGAGGUGCGAAAGCGUGGGGAGCAAACAGG
rnacentral:rRNA from 1 species